rnacentral:rRNA from 1 species
CUAAAUCACAACGACUCUCGGCAACGGAUAUCUCGGCUCUCGCAUCGAUGAAGAACGCAGCA